CUCCCGGACCGGGGCACGAACCCGUGUCCCCUGCAUCGGCAGGCGGACCCUCAACCACUGCGCCACCAGGGAAGCCCAGGAUCAUCACACUUUGACACUUGUGAUUCUUUAACAUGUGUCCCCACCGGACUUAAGGCUCCUUAGUGACAGGUCGUUUGGGUCAUCAUUGUAUCUCUGGCUUCCAGUGUCCUGUAUGUUUUAUUGAGUGAACCGUGUAACCUGAUUUAUUAUUACUCUGGGUCAGCUUGUAGAACUGCAGGGGAAAGGGUGGGGCUAAAGACCUAUCAUGAGACGGACGAGAGGAAGUGGGGAAGGGCUAUACAACUUUGGAUUAGAACCCUCCUCAAUUCUUAGGAACUCAUCUGAGGCAGGGUAGGGUGGGAGAUAUUUCUAGCUCGGGGUUGUUCAUUUGAUGCAGUAUAUAUAUUUUUAAUCCUGUGUCACCUCUGUCCUCAUUUAUCUGCACCUUAGAGAUGUACUCCAUUACUCCUAAGACUGUGGUAGACACUGAUAGUCAUAUCCCGUUUCUGGAAGAAGUUUUAGUUGGGCAUGUGGCCACCCACAAGACAUUUCCCAGCCUUCUUUGAAGAUGAGUGGGGACACGUGAGCAAGCUGUGGUCCCUCUCACCCUAAGCAGAAAUAAUGCAUCCAGCUUCCAGGUCGUGACCUUAAAAGGAGAGGGUGUGCCUUCCGCCCCCUCUCUUCCCCGUUCCCACUGGCUGCCAUGUGAAACUGCUUGGGAGCCACGCUUGUCCACAUGGGGUUGCUGAUGGGAGAGAGACGCAUUUCUAGUUGUGACUAGUCACACCGGCUGAAUCGGGGUCUGAAUUCCGGCACCCAGUCCCGAGCAGGCAGAAAUGAUGAGAAGCACCAUGCCUGGGGCGGUGCUCUUGUGGUAAAGAUGUGAUCGAUCACCUCAUCUGGAGGAUAAAUGACAGCACUCUGGCUAUCACAGUGAUUCUUAUUUGCAACUCUACCAGGGAAAGAGUCUCUCCAACAAAAGUCUGGGAAACGAGUCUCACUGGUUUUGAGUGAGAAAUAACCCCAUCGUCCAAUCAAUGCCGCUGGCCACGAUACUGGGCUCUGGUUGGCCUAGCCUGGGUCACAUGCUAAUGUGGGUGGAGUCCGUUCCUGUUAAGCGACAGAUUGUGAGUGGGAAAGAGGUGGUCCUAAGGAAAUUAGGGCACUCUUAUUAGAAGAAGGACUACACGCCAAGCAGGCACAACAGAUGUCUUUUAUAGCAUGAGUACCUGUACCUAGUAAACAGUAAUAAAUGUGAACUGUCAUGCCUCCUCCUCUCCUCGUCUUCUGGGUCAUGGUCAUUCUGCACCAGGAUGCCAGUAUAUAACCAUCCUUAUUUAUCUUCCUUUAACACUCACUCCCUUUACACUCCCCCCUUCUAAGAAGUUGGACGUUAGACUUAAUUUCUGCCGAGGCCCAUAUCUCCCCUGCAGUUCCCUAUGAAUCUUCCUCCCAAGUGAUUAAGGGCCUGCUUCUUACCUUCCCUCUCUCCCUCCCUCCUGCUCCAGGUAUCUAGGAACCGCUAUUUACUAAACAAGAGGGUUACUAAGAAUCUACAAAGAGCUCCAGAAUCACGGUGCAGUUUCCUGUAGUUGCUAUACCAUCCCCAUCACUCCCACAUCCUUUUAUAUCCUGAAGAUGCUACCUAGUCCAAUCAGGCUGUUUAAAACCUCCAAUUUGUCAGUUUGAAAUCUACACGUUAUUCAGUGCCAGUGGUUCAGCCGACAUUGUUAGUACCCAGGUGGUACUGUGAGAAGUCCUGCUGGGAACUGGCAAUAGCGAAGGUGUUCUUUUGAGAACUGAGCCGUAAUACUGAGACGAUGUUCUGAGGAGAGAGAGACGUAACAUCACCAUAGACAGCUGAUUCCCAGUCUGGGUGGGGGGAUGGGCAUUAGGUGGCAAGGAUGAACCGUCUGAAGCCAAAGAACAGGUAAUGCACAAAGGACAGCAGUGCAGGCCCAAUCAGAGGACUGGUCCACGGACGUGAGCUGGAGGGCCUGAGGUCUGAGGCAAGGGCGUUCCUAACAAGGAGGGGCGUGCUUCAGGCUCUUUCUGUCUCGUGAUUUUGAAUAUUUGAUUUCCCCAAGUCCCAUUUUCAGCUGCCAGGACUUCUAAGCAACCCCUCGGGCAUGAUUUGGCUUUAGAGGUAAAGUGAGUCUGUCUAAAGGGAAGGGAACGCCUAGCUGUGUGGAUUCCUGCGUUUUGGUUGUGGUGACAAUCUAUUUCUCAUCCAAAGUUAGUCUAUGAGCAUUACGGGUUUAUACCUCAGCUUUACGAACCUCGUUUUUGUAAAUCAGACUUGGAGAGAUGGAUCUGCUUCCCUCACAAUGGAAAAAUCCACAUGAAGGUGAGCUCUCCAGGGUAGUGGGUGUUCCCUG